AAAAAGGGCUUCUGUCGUGAGUGGCACACGUAGGGCAGCUCCAUUGCUCUUCGUGUGGAAUCGACAUCAAGAGAUUUCGGAAGCAUAAUUUUUUGGUACCCGGGCAGCUGGUGAUCGUUGGAAAAAAAAAAAAAAAAGAUCAGUUGGCUAUUUUGUGCAGGUUUAUUUCUGGGCUCCCCA
rnacentral:snRNA from 1 species